AUUCGACAUUUUAAAUGAUAGUCCCAGUAAGAGUGGAACUUGAUCUAAAUAGAGCUGAUUCCGGAUCCAUAGAUUGUAGUUUCGAUCCCAAAUGAAUAACAAAAAGUUGAAUCAAAGUCUAGCAAAUUUGGGUCUAAAACAAAAUAAUAAUAAUAAUAAUAAUAAUAAUGUAGUUUGGAUGUCUAAAAUCUAGAUGUGAUCCAAAUAUAAUGAGAAAUCAAACCCUAUCUUACUCGACUCACCAAAAUGAAUGAACCAGAUUUCGAAACCUAAACUCAAAGCCCGCUUAGACC
rnacentral:lncRNA from 1 species